ensembl:lncRNA
GAAGAUGGCGGGUAAAGGAGGAUAUGUGGAAAUACCAGUGUUGGGGGUGGGGGAUGCAAUUGCUAUGACGGAUUGACCGUGGGCCCCCCAAUUAACAAAAUGGAAGAAAUUUUGAAAACCCUUAUUGCUGGCCAGCAAUCCCAGAUGCAAACCAAUUUGGCUCUCUUGGAAGAACAAAAGAAAGCCAACCUUCUGAAGGCGGAGGAAUUACAGUUGCAGAAACAGAUGGCCAACUGGAAUGUACACCCAAUAAAGACCCAGAGGACUGCUGGACAUUACGAAGGAAGCCUGGGAGGAGCAGCCAUGCCAACAGCGGACCCUGAUCGAGCAUGUCGGGGCCAUGAGGGCGAGAAUGAAGGCCAUCUAUCCCAUGAUCCAGGGAGACACGGCAACAGCAAGCCACCUACAACCGGUCGGCGCAACCCAGAGUGUUUUAGCCGGGCGACAAAGUGCUGGUCCUGGUGCCAACCACAGAGUGUAAAUUACUGGCUACUUGGCAAGGACCAUAUGAGGUCAUGGACGUGUGGGAGAAGUAAACUACAAGGUAAGGCAACCUGGAAAAAGAACCUGAGCAAAUUUAUCACGUUAACCUCUUAAAGAAGUGGCACGCCAUGGAGGUGCUGUUCAGCUGUCCAAGGAACCGGUGCGAGAAGAGGUGCAGGUGGGUCCCGGCCUGUCCCCCAUCAACGGCAGUUGGCCCGGGAACUGGUGGACCGUAACCCGGAUGUUUUCUCCUCUCUUCCCGGGCACACGGCGGUGACCCAGCACGAGAUACGCACCGUGCCGGGCAAAACGGUGAACCAGCACCGUACCGUGUGCCGGAGGCUCAUAAGGGGGCCAUUCAGGAGGAG